UUGAUCAGUUGCCCACAGUGCCUCUGAGAGCACGAGCCCAGAGCUCUGUUUCUGCAGGAAUGUACCAAACGCACUACCAGUGAGCUGGUAAUCGCUUUAAGUCUGGGCAAACUGGUUCUCCUGGCACAAGAGAUGGCAGUAAUUGUUCCUCCCCAGCCUGAUGUGGGAGAAGGCUGAGUUUUGCUCUGGACUUGUCUGCACACUCCUGGCCUUCGCCCCUCACCCGGGACAGGCCUGGUCAGGUCUGCCAGGCCCCGGGAGCUUUGCUUGCUGGCCCAGGGCCUCACCCAGUGCACGCUGCUCUGCCCUGGGCCCUGCUUUCCUGAGGCCCAGCAGCCAGGGGCCUGUGGUACUACCAGCUGAAUUCCAAGUAAACUUUCCCAGAAUCACAGAAUCUCUUGGAAACGGAACCCCUUGGCAAUGCAAAGCAUUCUCAGAACCAAGGAAUUACAGAAAAAUAGAACCUCAAGUUUGGAAAAGAUUCUUCAGCAUUGAUGCAGACAGGUUUGUGUUGAGAUGACAGAACCGCGAUCAGAGCCACCAGGGUCAUCAAGACUUUGUGUAGAGGACAGUGCCCUGGAGACGCCUGAGCUACAGCAGACUUUGCGUGAAGGAGAGAUAAACUUGGUGAGAUUUGGGGGCCAUUUGCUACCCCAGUAUAACGUAGCCUGUCCUAGCUGUGGUGUUGUGAUUUAUAAUAAGAAGUAUAUGUAUUUGAUCUUCGUCCCUGUUUCUGGCACAGAGUCCCCAAAUUCCUUGGAAUUUCCUAAGUGGUUUGAGCCCUAAAGAUGUCUUUUGUUGUGUUGAUGAGGUGACUUUUGGGCCACACCUAGGAUUAGGGGCUGGUUGCCAGUGGAGCCAACCUGAAUACAGGACUGAGACUUUCAGUCCUAUCCUCCAGCCUUCUGGGUGGAGGGAAGGACUUGAGAUUGAGGUCAGUCACUAAUGGCCAAUGAUGUAAUCAAUAAGGCCUAUGUAAUGAAGCCUCCAUAACCGGGCCCCCCCCCCCCCCACGGCAAAUGGGGUUCAGAGAGCUUAUGAGUUGGUGAACACAUGGAGGUUCAGGGAGAGUGGCACUCUUGGAGAGCCUGGUGCCUCUGUACCCCUCCCCCACCCAUGCCCUAUGCAUCUUUUCCAUUUGGCUGUUCCUGAGUUAUAUCCUUUUGUAAUAAACAGGUGAUCUAGUAAGUAAAAUGUUUGAGUUCUGUGAGCCACUCUCCCGGAUUAAUUGGACACGAAGAGGGGGUCAUUGAAACCUCAAAUCUAUAGCUUGUCAGUCAGAAGCAUAGGUGACAACGUGGGGUGGCAGCUGGUGUCUGAAGGUGCGGUGGGCGCAGUCCUGUAGGGCUGAGCCCUACACGUGGAAUCCGAUCCUGUCUUCGGGUAGAUAGUAUCAGAAUUGAGCAGACUUGCAGGACACCCAACUGGUAUCCGAGCAUUGUUUGUUCGUGGUAGGGAAAAUCUACCCUACUUCGGAAGUGGUACCUAGCCUGUGUUCCAAACUUCCCGGAACAGGAAUUCACCAUGACCAUGGAUUUUGGGUUCAUUGCUGAGCAGCUGUCAGGUGGAGAAUUCCUUUUUCCCCCAAACUGAAAUCUGUUUCCUCAAAGCUCCCUGGUUGCCCACCCCAAGUAGGUGAAAUCCAUCUUGACAGUUUCUUGUAGUCCUUUGGGGCUCUCUUUUCUCCCUAUGCCAGUGACUCCCGCUCUUUAAUGUGAAUCAUUUGGAGGGCU